GACGAACCGUCCAAACGUUAUUCGGAAUCACUGGGCUUAAAGGGCGCGUAGGCGGCCGAGCGGGUCACGGGUGAAAUCCUCCAGCUUAACUGGAGAACUGCCCUUGAUACCACUGCGGCUCGAGGGAGGAAGGGGCAAUCGGAACUGUCGGUGGAGCGGUGAAAUGCGUUGAUAUCGACAGGAACGCCGGUGGCGAAAGCGGCGCGCUGGACCACUUCUGACGCUGAGGCGCGAAAACUAGGGGAGCAAACAGG
rnacentral:rRNA from 1 species